UACAGAGGGUGCAAGCGUUUAAUCGGAAUUACUGGGCGUAAAGCGCACGUAGGUGGCUGGGUAAGUUGGAUGUGAAAAUCCCCGGGCUUAACUUGGGAAUUGCAUUCAAGACUGCCUUGCUAGAGUGUGGAAGAGGGAAGCGGAAUUCCAGGUGUAGCGGUGAAAUGCGUAGAUAUCUGGAGGAACAUCAGUGGCGAAGGCGGCUUCCUGGUCCAACACUGACACUGAGGUGCGAAAGCGUGGGGAGCAAACAGG
rnacentral:rRNA from 1 species